GACGAACGCUGGCGGCGGGCUUAACACAUGCAAGUCGAACGGAAAGGCCCUGCUUUUGUUGGGUGCUCGAGUGGCGAACGGGUGAGUAACACGGGAGUAACCUCCCCUGUACGUUGUGAUCACGUCAGGAAACUGGUGCUAAUACCUGAUAGGAGCUCCUGCUGCAUGGUGGUGGUUGGAAAGUGUCGGCGGGUGUGGAUGGACUCGCGGCUUAUCAGCUUGUUGGGGGGGUAGUGGCUUACCAAGGCUUUGACGGGUAGCCGGCAUGAGAGGGUGACCGGGGACAUUGGGACUGCGAUACGGCGCAGACUCCAACGGGAGGCAGCAGUGGGGAAUCUUGCACAAUGGGCGGAAGUCUGAUGCAGAAACGUCGCGUGCGGGAUGACGGCCUUCGGGUUGUAAACCGGUUUGGGCUGUGACGAAGCGUGAGUGACGGUAAUGGGUAAAGAAGCACCGGCUAACUACGUG
rnacentral:rRNA from 1 species